GGACCCGCACAAGUAGUGGAGCAUGUGGUUUAAUUCGAAGAUACGCGCAGAACCUUACCAACACUUGACAUGUUCGUCGCGACUCUAAGAGAUUAGAGUUUUCGGUUCGGCCGGACGAAACACAGGUGCUGCAUGGCUGUCGUCAGCUCGUGUCGUGAGAUGUUGGGUUAAGUCCCGCAACGAGCGCAACCCUCACUUUUAGUUGCCAUCAUUAAGUUGGGCACUCUGAAAGAACUGCCAGUGAUAAGCUGGAGGAAGGUGGGGAUGACGUCAAGUCCUCAUGGCCCUUACGUGUUGGGCUACACACGUGCUACAAUGGUAUAGACAGAGGGCAGCCACCUGCGACAGGGAG
rnacentral:rRNA from 1 species